CCGCAGUUUCGACUGGUGUGUGUAUGCGUGUGUGCGUGUGUCUGUGUGUGUCUGUAUGUGUGUGUGUGUCUGCGUGUAUUUUAAAGGUUUCUUUGAACUGCCUUUGUGCUGAGUCGGCGCUGCUUCUUGCCAAUGCAAGUCACGGUCGUACGAACUUUGUGUUAACCUUUUAUGUCGAAUGAAUCUUUUCAUUUGGAAAGCCAUAAAUCUCAUUCCGUAGCUCCUUUUGUGCAGCGCACUACGACUUAGUAAGCCAAGUGUGCGUUCAACAACAACAACAAAAAAAGUAGGAAAACAAAAAAAAAAGUUGCAAGCCGAUAGAAAGUAUAACUUUAAAAGCAAACAAACAAAAUCAGAUUCCAAUGUAAAGUGCGGGACUGGCUGUUCACAGGAGACGUCGUGGAAGCAAUCGAAGUGGAAACGGAGCGCGCACAGUCACAACCUUGAGGAUAUCGAAAGGCCAAACUUCAACUCGAGUCAACAGAUGUGAAGCUGGGAGAGCACAGCAGGUGACACAGCCUCCGAGGAGCAAAAAAAGCAAUGUUUCCGACCGAAACUCUUCUUCAGGGCUCAGUGUUCGUUUUCUCAAAUUAGAAGGAAAUUUGUUCACCAAUUAAUGUCCUGCAAAGUGUCCUCACUCGUCGUUCGAAGCGUCCUGGCACCGAAUGGACGCUGGGGAAGGACUAACCCGUGCUUCUGCCGGUCCUGUAAUCCUGUGGCAUGUGCUGAUGACAUCACAUGAUGUCCAUUGCCGGCAACAUCCAGUUCCCUGCAACUGUCAUUUAAUGUUGCAAGCAAAUGAAAAAUGACUGUGAGACUCACUGGCUCCCAGAAGUGACCUUGAGUAUUAUUAGAAUGACCUCCCAUCGGUUUGACCAGAAGACCUUUGAUAUCUGCAUGAAGAAAAUAUACGAGUGAGAUGCCUCGUCUACAGAUAGAAAGGACAACGAUCAGCGAGAAUAGCACAAAGCUGAAGCUAAGUUGCAGCUCAUUGCUGCCAACAUUAAAAAGUAAUCACCGUACAUAACUUGACUCCCUGCAUCCACUGCUCUAAGAAUUGUAUUUUUUUAUGCAAACCAUUAGAUUUUUGUUUAAGAAACACAUUCAUUUAAAAGGCCCCGGACUUGUACAGGAUGCACACACACAGACACACACACACAUCGAGACAUACAUACACACACACACACACACACAGACACACACACACAUAGAGACAUACAUACACACACACACAGACACACACACAUAGAGACAUACAUACACACACACACACACACACAGACACACACACACAUAGAGACAUACGUAUCGCCCCUGUUAGUUGGAAAUGAAUCUGACAGUCAAUAGAGUUCCAUGCAUCUCAACGGGCAUGCUAUUACCAACGUCGUAAAGCCGUAGCCAGGAAAAAGACUGUAAGGGGAAAUCACAUGUUUUGAGAGGUUAGUUCAUUGAGUAGACCAAAGCUUUUCUUAACCAAAAAUAGGGUAAGCCGAAUUCUGUGAUGUAAUCAGCUGUUCUCCAUUCAAUCACGCAGUCUCUUCCUUCCCUAAACAAACUGUUACUACUCUGUUGCAAUCAGCUCACACACUCUAACCACGUUCCAUGACCAAUACGAUAUCCCGAAAACAAAUUCAUGAGGAUUGAUUACGGGAAGGACGGUUAGCGUUACUGCUCUAUUUUCACACCCCUGCAUCGUCCAUCUAUGCCCGUCAGUCUCCCCUUCCCUUCACAUUUCAUACUAUUUUUAAAAAAAUCUCCCCGCCCGCUUUACCAGAUUCCAAUCUCUUUCUUCAUCUUUAAUUCCCCUUUCCUCAUGCUUCUGGACUUCUUCUUGGUUUCUUUGCCUUAUCCACCAACCGGAAGCGCACCUUACUUUAUUUAUGCCUUUUGAGGGGAUUAAGGAGCCCUCUCCCAUUGUCUGUUCUCCUCCAGCGGUGCACCCUGUUAGUAACAAUGCAAAGUGCUUGUGGUCUUAUGUGAGUUGGUGUUUGUACACAAACGCAGAUACCCCUACCUCCAAAAUGCACCUAUUCGGGAUAUUUGACACCAGCAAAGUUCUCAAUCGCAAGAUGAAUCUGCGAUUGUUCAAAUAAAAACAACCAUUCCGUUGAUUCAGCCAGGGGCUAGCAAUUCCCUAUAACUGGUGUUUACAGUAACAGUAACGCCAGUUCAACACAAUGCAUUUUGGUCCGCACGUAGUUAUAAUUAGCUACAUAUAUGAAGCAAGCAUUGGCAGCAGUAAAGGGUCUCUCUUUCUUCUCCUAUCCCCACCCACCUCUACAUCGGCAUCCUACCUCAUCCCACUCCCAUCCUCCCAUUCCCUCCCUCAAUAUUAGACAAGCUGUUCACUUUCAAUCCAUAUUGAAAUGAAUACGGAUAUUGCCAUGUACAGAUUGCGACCGUGGGAUACUUGAGUUGAGCUAAUGCCUUUUCCCCAAUGUGCAUUCGUCAGUAUGACAAAAUGUUUCCUUUGCAUAUAGAACGGUGCUACAUCGAGAUUGUAGUGUGCUGAAUUACAUGUGUUACAAAGUUGGAAAGAGAGAUCUUUCAAAAGGCAUUAGAUUCAAUCCAAUCAAAUAACAUUGUGAUUUUCUAAGACCUUCUGUGACAAAAUUGAAAUCUUAAUAAAUGAAAACAUCAGAACCGUC